rnacentral:rRNA from 1 species
AUUGAACGCUGGCGGCAGGCCUAACACAUGCAAGUCGAGCGAGCGGCGGACGGGUGAGUAAUGUAUGGGGACUGCCCGAUAGAGGGGGCUAACUACUGGAAACGGUGGCUAAUACCGCAUACUAUCGGAUAACCCAUAUGGGAUUAGCUAGUAGGUAGGGUAAUGGCCUACCUAGGCAACGAUACAUAGCCGACCUGAGAGGGUGAUCGGCCACACUGGGACUGAGACACGGCCCAGACUCCUACGGAGGCAGCAGUGGGGAAUAUUGCACAAUGGGCGCAAGUCUGAUGCAGCCAUGCCGCGUGUAUGAAGAAGGCCUUCGGGUUGUAAAGUACUUUCAGUCGGGAGGCGUUACCGACAGAAGAAGCACCGGCUAACUCCGUGCCAGCAGCCGCGGUAAUAC